AUAGCGUAAACGCGCCAAUUCCUGCAAAGUCAUUUCUGUUGUUCGGUCGGUUUGGCAGAUCAAGGAAAUAUGGAUAAACCUGCAAAAAAGAAAAUACUGUGCAGCUACAACAAACAAUUGGAAGCAACAAAGACGUGGGUUAAGCCCGUCAGUGGUGACUCGAUGAAAGCGUUCUGUACUUUAUGCCGUCGGGAAUUCUCAAUUGGCCAUGGAGGGGAGAAUGACUUAACUCAGCAUGCAUCCAUGGAAAUGCACAAGAAUGCCAUGCUAGCUAAUAAAGGUGCUAGCAAUAUCGGUGCAUUAUUCGUAAGUAACUGCGGGAUAUUUUGGAUGAUUAUGUACCGUCCGAAGGUGAGCCCGUGUAUUUCUUAGUUGCCAGUGAUGCCUCAAACAAGGGAAAUAGACAAAUGUUUCCAGUGCGUGUGAUAUUUGUGUUUAAUGGAAUGGAAUGGAGUGCAGUGCAAGUUGUGAUGAAACUACAAAUGGCAUACAUCAAGCUCUGAUGAACUGUCUGGAAAAGCAUGAGCUGGAUAUUAGACACAUCACAGCCUAUGCAGCAGAUUACACCAAUGUCAACUUUGGAAAACACCACUCCGUUUACCCGUUAUUGAGCAGCGCCAACAAUCCCAUUCUAAAAGCUCACAUAGCUCAUAAUGCCUGCAAGCACGCCUGCUGUCAGUGGAUAUUGAGACCAUUGUUUUAAAGCUCUACAUGCGCUUCUCAGUAUAUGCUUCCCGAAGAGAGGAACUGGGUGCAUUUUUUGCCAUUGUUGACAUUGAGUGGCGUGAAAUUCUGCGACAUGUUUGUACACGAUUGGCCCUCGCUUCAUCCAGCUGUAGUUCGUCUCCUGCAAAGCUGGCCAGCUCUUACUUCAUACUUCAGGUCCCUUGGGGAGACCUGCCCUGUGGCACUGAAGAGUAUCAUUACAUACAUUGACAAGUGGUUUGAUUUGUCACCAGAAAAUGUCAUGGUGAAACUGAAACCGAUUGGCCUCUAUGAGCUCUCCUUCACUGACCUGGAGCAAGUGGUGGUUGCCCUCAAAAUGACAGAGACAGUCAGUAUGGACCAACUCUAUGAAGAGUUUUGUGCUAGCCGGGAGGAAAUACAGAAAACCAGACAGGAUACCACAAAAUACACCAGUGAGAAGUGGGUGGCAGUUUUUCAAAACCUAGAGAAAGCCAACUUGAUCAACAUGUUCAGGAUUGGUCUCAUUUGUCCUCAGUGUGCCAGGCUCAAAUGCCUUUUGUAGAGAGGAUUUUCUCUCUGAUGUCCAUUUAAAUGGUCAGACUCAAGAAACCGAUGCAGCACAGAGCUGAUCACAAAUGAACUUCAAAUAUCUGUGAACUGUGACUUGUCAUGUAAGGACUUCUCUCUGGCUAUGCAAAAGGACAAAGGACUUCUUGAAUCAGUCAAGAGCAGCAAAAAAUAUCCAUGGAAAAAGUAGACUUGGCACUUGGCUCUUCUGAGAAUCUCCUUUGAACCUGAGCAGUUUCACCACUAGAUCUAGGCUGUCCAACUGGGAAGAAAGUGCCAUUCAUAUGUGCGCUCUCGAUGAGUUUAAGGUAGUCUCCUUUGGAAGAGUGCUUGUCAAGUGGUGUUUGGAAUAUUGCGAAAUCCCCAACAUGGUUUUGAAUGCGGUCUGGCUGGAGACAUUCUCCUCCUUUAUCUUCUCCACCUCUGACUGCGUAAACUUCAAACUGUGUUUCAAUUCUAUUACAUCCUUAAACAGAUCAUCAACCCUUUUGUUGGUACAAUCCAUACAGAUUUUUAUAUAACUGUUUUUGUUGAUCGAGUAGUUCAUGGAGUGUAGUGCUUGAAACGUAUUCCUCUUCUGAAUUGAGUAUUUGUAUUU